CUCGCUUGCUCCUGGCUUUCGAUUUCAUCCGACUGAUGAGGAACUCGUGAGCUAUUACUUGAAGAGGAAGGUUCUGGGCAAACCUGUACGCUUCGAUGCGAUUGGAGAGGUCGAUAUCUACAAGCAUGAGCCCUGGGAUUUAGCAGGUUCUUUGGGUUUCUUCCUCUUCGUUUUUGCGUAUCUCUGUGAUUUGGGUUUUUCCGUGAGACUUGUAAAUUUGUUGCUUCUGAUCUGUGAUUAUUGUCGCCUGGGCUUAUUUGUUGUUCCGUCUUCUGGGAAAAGGGUUUAGCUUUUAUGUGCUCCGAUUCUUUUUCUGGGAAAUUUUUUGUUGCAGAGAAGAUUCUCUGUUCGUACCUUUUGCUAUGUUUAGGCAAUUAGGCUAUAGCACUGCGAAGACAUUCCAUCCAAUUGACUUCUUUAAUUGGGGAAAGUCGAUUUUUCAGAUUCCUUAAGAAUUUUGUGUUUGCUUGUGGCUCAGUUAUGUUUGCUUGUGGUUCAGGAAAUGAAGUUUGUUGGUUAUCUGAAGUGUUGUUAAGUCUGGUUUGUAAAUUUUCAUCUGUUGUGUUGUGUGUUUCAGUGUUUUCCAAGUUGAAAACUCGGGACCAAGAAUGGUACUUCUUUAGCGCGUUAGAUAAGAAGUACGGUAAUGGUGCUAGGAUGAAUCGAGCAACUAACAAAGGGUACUGGAAAGCAACUGGAAAAGACAGAGAAAUCCGCCGGGAUAUUCAGUUGCUCGGUAUGAAAAAGACGCUUGUUUUCCACAGCGGGCGUGCUCCAGACGGGCUUCGGACUAAUUGGGUGAUGCACGAGUAUCGACUUGUGGAAUAUGAAACUGAAACUAACGGAAGCCUGCUGGUAUUAUCUUGUCCAAAAGAGUUACUUUCGAAUUGGGUUUAUCUCAUAUUGUUAAAAGAAUCCUAUCUUAUCUCGAUUCUUUGUCUGGUGCAGCAGGAUGCAUAUGUGUUGUGCAGAGUGUUUCACAAGAAUAACAUUGGGCCACCGAGUGGGAACAGAUAUGCGCCAUUCAUGGAAGAAGAAUGGGCUGAUGGUGGAGGAGCUCUGAUUCCAGGAAUAGACGUUAGGGUCAGGGUAGAGGCUCUACCACAAGCCAAUGGAAACAACCAGAUGGACCAGGUUUGUGCUUUCUUUACACUCAAUGUUUCUUAUAUGCAAAAACUCUUUGAUGAAUCAUCCCUCUUGAUUCACAAGAUAUCAUAUUUCGUAUAUGCAAAAGCUCUUUGUUUCUCUAAGUGCUGUUUCAGUGGGCUGAGUUACUUAAACUGCACAAUUCCAUUAAGUUUGCUAUCAACUCUUGUAGAAUUCAGCUCAACCUUACAGCUUUAUCUAAUGAAUGGUCUCUCUUGAUUCACAAGAUAUCUAAAUUUUUCUUUAUGGUCUUUUUUCUUUGGGAUUUAUCCUCGUGAUUACAAGAUAUUUCAGACUUACAAUCUUCGUUUUGCAUUAAAGGAUAAUCAACUAGAGAAAGACUUAUUGUGUUUUGGUUAAUCUGCAAAGUCGAUCAACGCAUUUUGGGUUUUAGAUAUUUUAUGCCUAAUGGGGUUCACAUUAACUUGUAAUUUGUUGUAGGAAAUCCAUUCAACAAGCAAGGAUCUCAUUAACAUCAACGAGCUACCGAGAGAUGCUACUCCAAUGGACAUCGAACCUAACCAACAGAAUCAUCAUGAGAGCGCCUUCAAGCCACAGGAGAAUAACAACCAUAGCGGUUAUGAAGAAGAUGAGGAAACACUCAAACGCGAGCACGCAGAAGAAGAUGAGCGUCCUCCUCCACUCUCCAUUCUCAACAAAGAAGCUCCACUACCUCUCCUCCAAUACAAACGUAGACGCCAAAACGAAUCCAACAACAACUCAAGCAGGAGCACACAGGACCAUUGUUCGUCGUCCACAAUAACAACCGUCGACAAUACAACCACCUUAAUCUCAUCAUCAUCUGCUGCUGCUGCCACCAACACUGCCAUCUCUGCAUUGCUUGAGUUCUCACUUAUGGGCAUCUCCGAAAAGAAAGAAAACCAGCAGCAACCGCUUAGUCCUCACAAGGAAGCUUCUCCUCCUAGUCCAAUUGCAUCUCCUGAAGAGAAGGUUGAUGAUCUCCAGAAAGAGAUUCACCAGAUGUCUGUUGAAAGAGAAACUUUCAAGCUUGAGAUGAUGAGUGCAGAGGCUAUGAUCAGCAUUCUCCAGUCAAGGAUCGAUGCACUGCGUCAGGAGAACGAGGAACUUAAGAAGAAGAACGCCAGUGGACAAGCUAGUUAAACCACACUACCAUCUCUCCAGGUUUCUUCUUCUUCUUCUUUGCCUUUUAGCUGUAAUCUUCCUAAUAGUAUGAGCUAUGGAUGUAGCUUGUUCAGACAGAUCAGAAACCAUAUGAAUCUCUGUUGUAAAAUUAGGAUAAAACGGAACGGAGUCACCCAGCAGGGUCUUUAUUGAUCCUUUUUUUAUUUCAUGUUUCUGCAUCUUUUGGGAACAAUUUCAGGCUGAUCCAUUGUCAUAUACUAUUAUCAUCUAUCUAUCUUGUCUUUUUCAGACAAGAACUCUCUUUUAUUUGGUCUCAAGAAAGCUUUUUUUUUUUCUCUUGGGGUAAAACCGUAAUCAUUAGUGGUCCGGUUCGAGGGCAUAAUCUUCAUGAAAUUACCUUCUGGUCUUCCGUACAAAGAACUACUCUGUUGCUUAAUAAUGUUCUAUCUCGAAGAACUGGGAAGACAGCUUUAGCUAAACUCGUGAUUAGUGGAAAUGAGUGAGGGUGUAACCGUCAUUGAACAAUUCGGCUAGCGUUACGAUUUAUGAAUGUGGUUCCGUCAACGACGUUAGAAGACUUUUGUUACACGUAAUUUGCAAUUAUUUGUUUUUUUUUUAAAGCAAAAAGCGCUAAAUACGAUUCAAGCCUGGAUUCCAUUUUCAAAUAAAUAAAUAUAUUUUACUUUGAGAAAAUUAGCUGUUAUACGACAUUUCACCGAAACAUUUUUGGUUCUACCACUUCAUAUACUCAUUUUUCUCUUGUACCACAAUUGCCGUUGGUAAAGACCAUUUUACCCUCCAACAUGAGAGACCAAAACCUGUAGUUGAUGUGCCCCUCUAACUUUUCUGUCUUCCUUUAUUUCUCUACAUUGGUAACUACAAUUUUCUCUUUCUUUAUUUGUUGUUACAUUUUUAUUUUAUUUAUUUAUUUCUUUCACUUUCACUUUAUCUCUCUCUUUGUCUAGUUCUUUCUCUCAUUUACGACAAAACUUUUUUUCAUAUAAACAUUCUCUACUGUUGUCCAUAUCUUGUCCCCGAUUGGGAAUUCUCUAUUGCGUUUAGAUCUUGUCCCCGAUUCAUCAUUUUGUUUUAUUAUCAUGAAUUCCACAUUUUGUCUACCAAUUGUUCUCGUUUAAGGGUUUUGAAUUUUAUUUAGAUUUCUCGGCAUCUAUUUUGGUCUGCAGAUUAGUCGAACAAUAUUGUCCUCACUUACCCGGAUUAUUGAACCUUUUUUUUUUCCACUGGAUGGUAAAACAAAGUUGUCCCCGAGUAAAUCCAGAUCUUCGUCUUCGGCUCUUUGGCGGAAUAAAAUAAAGAUCAAGUUGUCUCCGAGUAAAUUCAGAUCUCUGGCUGGUAAAACCACAUCAUCUGGCGAUGGACAAUCAAGAAAAGUUGUCCCCGAGUAAAUCCAGAUCUCUGGCUGGUAAAACCACAUCAUCUGGCGAUGGACAAUCAAGAGACCUGGACUUAUUCUUGGUGGACAUCAUUCACUCUAUUUCAUAAUUAUUGUCCAUGGUAAAUGUAAACUGCAUUUAAUGCAAUGUUUUGUCCUUCUUCUCUGACACAAAGUUGUCUUUCAGACAAAGUUGUCCUUCUCUGACACAAAGUUGUCCCCGUUUCCCAACCGGCGUCUACUGUAGCUCCUUCCCCUAACACAUACCUGACGCACAGAGAAGGGCAAAAUCGUCCAAGAAUUGCCACACAAACACCAAAUGUGGUAUGGAUGCUAAAUUCAUUUCAAAUGUGGUACAUUUGCUAAUAUUUUCCCAAAAUGUGGCACAUUUGGCAAAAUUCCCUUUUACUUUUCUUUUAAUUUCAACUUUUUAAUUGCUGAAAACCUAAUUUUUGUGUUUCAAACUAAUUCCAUUAUUAUAUAUAUAUAUAUAUAUAUAUAAUACUCCCUCCGUUUUGUUUUAGUUGUCGUUUAAGGUUUUUUUCACGCAAAUUAAGAAAAACAUUAAAUUUUCUGUUUUACCCUUUAUUAAUAUAUCUUAUAAAUUUUUUCAUUAGCUAAAACAUUAAAAUAAUAGGGAUAAUACUGGAAUUUUUACCAACCAUUUACAUUGAAAACCUAAAACGACAACUAUUACAAAACAAAAUUUAAGUCGUAAAACGACAACUAAAACGAAACAGAUGGAGUAUAAAUUUGCGCCAACCAACUACCGCAACAAGUUACAGAGACUAUCUAAGACUUGUCCAAAAUUUCACGUGUCGCUACUUUAUUUGCUGUUACCCAAAAAUAUCAGAGUAUCGGCACUAUUUACAGAGCACAAUUCCCUGGAAGAGAUAUUAAAACCUCACUGCCUAACAUUUCACUCUUAAUCUUUUCCACUGUCGCUUAUUCCCGGAGGAUUCGUUGCCGCCUCUCUUCUUCUCCGAUUUGCUUGUUCUCAUUUUUUCCAAAUUCCUAAAACUCUAAUUUCCAUACUACACUUGCUUCGUUCUUUCUUUAGAUUCGAUUCGAUAACUCUGUGCUGGAUUAAGGAGAAAAACCUCAUUAGUUUCUUAUAGACUCGGUGUUGAUGGUGGCGACUGGACCACUACUUGGUAUGGCCCGUGUUCUUUACUUGGUCGUGACGGAGCCAAUGAUUUAGACCGGAACUUGUCUGAUUAACAAUCACAUUUGUAAAUGUUGUCUGAUGGUGCCGCUGCCGCCAUGUAGGAAUCAGCCAAAUGUGGUCUUUUUAUUUGGUGCAUCUUACUAAACCUUCAUCUACAAGCUUCUUGGUUGUCUUAAUUUGUUAGAUUAUUAUAGUGUCGACAUCUUUUUAUCAUUAAGUUUCAAAGAAGAAGUUUUGAUCAGAGACGUAUUUUCGAAAUGGAUUCAUAUCUACUAGGUAAUGGAAUUUCGUAGGUGUUAUAAAGUCUGAUGUUUGUAUUUUAUUUUAACUAUAUCGUCCCCCUAAUAUACGGAACCUGGCUAUGUUUAACUCCUUUAAGAAUCUAUUGUCUAGUAGUAGUAUCAUUUAUGAGUUUGUGUGACCCUUGUUGAAUGAUUGUACUUUCGAUAGGUUUGUUUUUUUUUCUUUCUAAUACUAUCUUUAUCCAAGAGUUGGAAAAAAAUUACUUGCUUUUUAGAUGACUACGAAAGUAAUUUACUACAUAAAACGACAAAAACCUACGCAGUAACAUUUGUCUAGGGUUUUAUUACUGCCACACUCAAAAAGAGAAAUAAUGAAAUAAGAAAAUGAAAAAAAAAAGAAAAUGAAAAUCAAAAUUGGAAUCGCAAUCCAAAAUACUUUGUUACUACUAGCCUUCUGGGAACGCGAAAAGAAAGACAAAUUUCUUGCAAUUGAAGGUACCCUUCAUCUUAUGCUUAUCUCUUUGGUUUCUUCUUCCUCAAAUCAAAAAACCCAUUUAUCCAACUUGUCUUUUUGUUCUUCAGGUGAGAUUUGGGGAUAGGGAAAUUGAGGAAACCCUAGAACAAGUACGGUCUUUACUUUGCUAUAAUGGGUCGCGAAUCUCUGGCUGUUGUGACUGCGCCGCCCUCGGCGACUGCUCCGGGUACUGCUACUGCGGCUACCUCGCUUGCUCCUGGCUUCCGAUUUCAUCCGACUGAUGAGGAACUCGUGAGCUAUUACUUGAAGAGGAAGGUUCUGGGCAAACCUGUACGCUUCGAUGCGAUUGGAGAGGUCGAUAUCUAUAAGCAUGAGCCCUGGGAUUUAGCAGGUUCUUUGGGUUUCACUUCGCUCUUUCUUGGUUUCUGUGCAUCUCUUCAAUUUUGGGUUUUUCUGUGACUUUGUUGCUUCUGAUUUGGGAUUUUGUGGUCUGGGCUUCUUCGCUUCUUCUGACUCGAUUCUUGGGAAAAGUUUUUAACUUUAUAGGUUCCGAUUCAUUUUGGUGGGAAAUUUUGUUGCAGAUUCUCUGUUGUUACCUUCUGCUAUGUAUGUUUAGGCUAUAACACUGUGA
rnacentral:lncRNA from 1 species